rnacentral:lncRNA from 1 species
GUAGGUGUAAAAUUUUUUGUGGGCCCCAUCUAAUUUAGGAGAUUUGCUGGAUGCAUUUUUUUUAUCUCAUUUUCAAUUAUUUUAGCCUAAAUUUAGAGUUAGUGAUGCAUUUAGGUGAUCUGCUGAGAGUGCUCUAAGAAUCAAGCCUCAUCAUAAUAUCAUUUGUGUGAACAGUGAGGUCCCGAGUUCAAACCCCACUGCUCCCCCUCCCAACUCCCCCAAGUAAAAAAACAAAAAUCCAAAAUGAAAAAUACCGAUAAAAGAAAAAGAAUA